AUACGUAGGGUGCGAGCGUUGUCCGGAAUUACUGGGCGUAAAGAGCUCGUAGGUGGUUUGUCGCGUCGUCUGUGAAAUUCCGGGGCUUAACUCCGGGCGUGCAGGCGAUACGGGCAUAACUUGAGUACUGUAGGGGAGACUGGAAUUCCUGGUGUAGCGGUGAAAUGCGCAGAUAUCAGGAGGAACACCGGCGGCGAAGGCGGGUCUCUGGGCAGUAACUGACGCUGAGGAGCGAAAGCAUGGGUAGCGAACAGGAUUAGAUACCCUGGUAGUCCAUGCCGUAAACGGUGGGCGCUAGGUGUAGGGGUCUUCCACGACUUCUGUGCCGUAGCUAACGCAUUAAGCGCCCCGCCUGGGGAGUACGGCCGCAAGGCUAAAACUUAAAGGAAUUGACGGGG
rnacentral:rRNA from 1 species